UGGGGAAUUUUGCGCAAUGGGGGAAACCCUGACGCAGCAACGCCGCGUGAGUGAUGAAGGCCUUCGGGUCGUAAAGCUCUGUCAGAGGGGAAGAAGUGCAUGGGCGCUAAUAUCGCUUAUGCUUGACGGUACCCUCAAAGGAAGCACCGGCUAACUCCGUGCCAGCAGCCGCGGUAAUACGGAGGGUGCGAGCGUUGUUCGGAAUUAUUGGGCGUAAAGCGCGUGUAGGCGGUUUUUUAAGUCUGAUGUGAAGGCCCUGGGCUCAACCCGGGAAGUGCAUUGGAAACUGGGAGACUUGAAUACGGGAGAGGGCAGUGGAAUUCCUGGUGUAGGAGUGAAAUCCGUAGAUAUCAGGAGGAACACCGGUGGCGAAGGCGGCUGCCUGGACCGAUAUUGACGCUGAGACGCGAAAGCGUGGGGAGCAAACAG
rnacentral:rRNA from 1 species